rnacentral:misc_RNA from 1 species
UAUUAUGACACAACAUACAAAUCAGAUAAUUCAUUGGUUUAUUACUUGCAAAAAUCUUAUCCUGCUGCACAUUAUGAAGCUUUUUUGAGAUAUCUUCAAUCUACCCAGCCUACCACAGCAACAUCUUCAUCUGCAAUUAGUGCUCUAGUUCCAUCCUCAAUUGCAUUGAGUGUUCCAUCUACAUCUGGAAUAAUUGUUACAUCUUCAGCUGCUACAAGUGGUACGUUUAUAAACUAUUAUUUUCUAAUAUGUGUAUGCAUAAUUUACAUGUGUAAAAGUAUUUUUUUAAUAUGUGCAUGCAUAUCUUAUCGAUAGCAAGUAAAUUGUAUUUUUAUUUUUAAAAAAUUUUACCUUUGGUCCAGGGGUGCUGGAAGCUCCAGCAGAAGAGGAAAUCGUGGAGGAGCUCGUGGGCGAAGACGGAAUGGUGGCGGCCUUGUGAAUGGUGGCAUCCACUAUUACUAGGCGCCACCACUCCUUUAUUUUUUUUUUAAAUAAAUAUAUAACAUUAUCAAGUUUGUUUUCCAUUUUGUCCGAAUUUUCGCAAUUAUUAACAUUUGAUUUAUUUAUUUUAAAUCUUUCACAAAAUGGUUUAAAAGCAAAGCAUUGACAGAUGUAGUAGUUUGCAAGGGACCUGUUUUGUAUCUUUUCAAUGUAAUUAAAAGUUUUAGGAUUUUUUGAGGUUUUGAAAUUUUGAGGUUUUCUCAUAGCCUAUAUUAAAUGCAGUUUCAAAUUUAUAUGUAAUGUUUUAUUGAGUUGAUAAAUGUUAAAUAUCUUUUCCAUACCUAAUUACUGUUCUUUAUUUUGUUUGGUUUAUAUACUUAAUUUUUGAGUUAAGAAUAUUAAUUGGUUUUAAACCAGUUUAAUUGUUUGAUUUUAAACCAGGUUAACUUAUGUUUUCAGUUCCUAAAUAUUAUAAUUAU